rnacentral:rRNA from 1 species
AGAGUUUGAUCCUGGCUCAGAUUGAACGCUGGCGGCAGGCCUAACACAUGCAAGUCGAGCGGAUGAAGAGAGCUUGCUCUCUGAUUCAGCGGCGGACGGGUGAGUAAUGCCUAGGAAUCUGCCUGAUAGUGGGGGACAACGUUUCGAAAGGAACGCUAAUACCGCAUACGUCCUACGGGAGAAAGCAGGGGACCUUCGGGCCUUGCGCUAUCAGAUGAGCCUAGGUCGGAUUAGCUAGUUGGUGAGGUAAUGGCUCACCAAGGCGACGAUCCGUAACUGGUCUGAGAGGAUGAUCAGUCACACUGGAACUGAGACACGGUCCAGACUCCUACGGGAGGCAGCAGUGGGGAAUAUUGGACAAUGGGCGAAAGCCUGAUCCAGCCAUGCCGCGUGUGUGAAGAAGGUCUUCGGAUUGUAAAGCACUUUAAGUUGGGAGGAAGGGCAUUAACCUAAUACGUUAGUGUUUUGACGUUACCGGCAGAAUAAGCACCGGCUAACUUCGUGCCAGCAGCCGCGGUAAUACGAAGGGUGCAAGCGUUAAUCGGAAUUACUGGGCGUAAAGCGCGCGUAGGUGGUUUGUUAAGUUGGAUGUGAAAGCCCCGGGCUCAACCUGGGAACUGCAUCCAAAACUGGCAAGCUAGAGUAUGGCAGAGGGUGGUGGAAUUUCCUGUGUAGCGGUGAAAUGCGUAGAUAUAGGAAGGAACACCAGUGGCGAAGGCGACCACCUGGGCUAAUACUGACACUGAGGUGCGAAAGCGUGGGGAGCAAACAGGAUUAGAUACCCUGGUAGUCCACGCCGUAAACGAUGUCGACUAGCCGUUGGGAUCCUUGAGAUCUUAGUGGCGCAGCUAACGCAUUAAGUCGACCGCCUGGGGAGUACGGCCGCAAGGUUAAAACUCAAAUGAAUUGACGG